rnacentral:tRNA from 1 species
GCCGGCGUGGUGGAACGGCAGACACGGUAGACUCAAAAUCUACUGGGGGCGACCCCGUGAGAGUUCAAGUCUCUCCGCCGGCA